UCAUAUCUUCCUAUAUCUACUAACUAAUAUAUAUGUGAACAUUACACGAUACAUAUUAACAUGCAUACACUACACAUUCUUAAGGUAGCUUUUCAAUUCAAUUGAUACAUUUAUUUUGACUUAUUUUCUUUGUCUUUUCGACUGAGGCUUAACUAGUCCUAAGCUGAAACAAAAUGCACACAAAACGAUGUUGGCCAUUGAUGAUGUUACGAUACAUAUAUUUUAGUUCAAUCUACAGUUUCACAUUUCCUUGUUUUUUGCACCAUUGAAGACUUUCUUUAAAAUGGUUUCUGAAUUGUUUGCUGACAAAA
rnacentral:lncRNA from 1 species